rnacentral:lncRNA from 1 species
AUUGACAUGAUCUUAAUACAAAUUAUCAGAAGAAACCCCAUAUGAGAACCGAUAAGAGUAAGAUGGAAGAAGGUAAACCAUAGCAGAAUUGAGUGCUGAUGGUCUAUUGAGUACGGCAGCUCUUGAAUUCGCCCUUCCUUCGACUAGAACAUAAUAGUACAGACAUAAGAAAAUCAGUCAAUAAAUAUAUUUCAGAAAUCACAAUAAGGGUUUCUUGAAAAAUAUUCUUUAAUUUUAGAAAAAAAAACACAAUAAGGUCUUCCAAAUCUUCCAUAAUUUCAGGAAAAACACAAUAAGGGUUUCUUCCAAAAUCUUCAAUACACAAUAAGAGUUUCUUCAAAAACUUCUACAAUAUCAGAAAAAACAAAGGGUUUCUUCGAAAAUCUUCCAUAAGAGAGUUUUCAGAGAAUCUGGCCUCUUCUUGAAUAUCAUAGUACGGGGCAUAGUUGGGUUGAGCAGAAAAGCCAUGUCUGAGAUGAGAGAAAGCUCUGUCUCUGCAACGAACGCCUAACUACCCUCUGCAUCGUCUCUCUCUCAACUUUG